rnacentral:lncRNA from 1 species
CCGCCUUAGAAGAGUAACUUCCUCACCUAAGAUCUAGGAACACAAACAUAUGGAGGGAGAAGUAUUAGAUAAGAUCUCCUAGAAGAAUUCACUCUGGGAGGUCAGAAGGCUGACCGGAACCCCUCCAGUGGAGGCUGGAUGGGCAAAGCAGGACCCUGGAGCAGCUCAGAUCUCUGAAUUUGCUGCGCAUCAGAAGGGUUUGCAGGAUCAUUAAGCCAUCACCAAGUCCAACUUCAGAAAUUUUCACCAGUUUCCUGAUAUCUGCAGCAGUUAGAAGCAAGAACUG